rnacentral:rRNA from 1 species
UGGGGAAUAUUGCACAAUGGGCGCAAGCCUGAUGCAGCCAUGCCGCGUGUGUGAAGAAGGCCUUCGGUUGUAAGCACUUUCAGCGAGGAGGAAGGUGGUGAGCUUAAUACGCUCAUCAAUUGACGUUACUCGCAGAAGAAGCACCGGCUAACUCCGUGCCAGCAGCCGCGGGUAAUACGGAGGGUGCAAGCGUUAAUCGGAAUUACUGGGCGUAAAGCGCACGCAGGCGGUUUGUUAAGUCAGNUGUGAAAUCCCCGGGCUCAACCUGGGAACUGCAUUUGAAACUGGCAAGCUAGAGUCUCGUAGAGGGGGGUAGAAUUCCAGGUGUAGCGGUGAAAUGCGUAGAGAUCUGGAGGAAUACCGGUGGCGAAGGCGGCCCCCCUGGANGAAGACUGACGCUCAGGUGCGAAAGCGUGGGGCAGCAAACAGGAUUAGAUACCCUGGUAGUCCAGCGCUGUAAACGAUGUCGA